GAUGAACGCUGGCGGCGUGCCUAAUACAUGCAAGUCGAGCGAACAGACGCGGAGCUUGCUCCUUUCACGUUAGCGGCGGACGGGUGAGUAACACGUGGAUCACCUACCUAUAUGUCUGGGAUCACCUCGGGAAACCGGAGCUAAUACCGGAUAAUCUAUUGAACCGCAUGGUUCAAUAGUGAAAGACGGUUUUGCUGUAUCUACUAGCUGGAUCUGCGCCGGAUUAGCUAGUUGGUUAGGUGACGGCCUACCAAGGCGACUAUGCGUAGCCGACCGGAGAGGUGGGUCGGCCACACGAGAAGGGAGACACGGUCCAUGCGCCUACGGGAGGGAGCAGUAUGGAAUGUGCCGCAAUGGGCGAGAGCCUGACGGAGCGGCGCCGCGUGAGUGGUAAAAGUCUUCGGAUCGUGAAGCUCUGUUAUUAGUGAAAAACAGAUUUGUAAGGAGAUGAACACGUCUUGACGGUACCGAAUCAGGAAGCCACGGCUAACUACGUG
rnacentral:rRNA from 1 species